rnacentral:rRNA from 1 species
UACGUAGGGGGCAAGCGUUGUCCGGAAUCACUGGGCGUAAAGCGCAUGUAGGCGGGAUAUUAAGUCAGGUGUGAAAACUAUGGGCUCAACCUGUAGAUUGCAUCUGAAACUGAUAUUCUUGAGUAUUGGAGAGGAAAGUGGAAUUCCUAGUGUAGCGGUGAAAUGCGUAGAUAUAUGGAGGAACACCAGUGGCGAAGGCGACUUUCUGGUCUGUUAUUGACGCUGAGGCUCGAAAGCAUGGGUAGCAAACAGGAUUA